rnacentral:rRNA from 1 species
GACGAACGCUGGCGGCGUGCUUAACACAUGCAAGUCGAACGGUGAAGCGCCUUCCUUUUUGGUUGGUGUGGAUGAGUGGCGAACGGGUGAGUAACACUUGAGUAACCUGCCCCCUUCUUCUGGAUAACCGCAUGAAAGUGUGGCUAAUACGGGAUAUUCUGGGUCUGUCGCAUGAUGGGUCUGGUAAAGAUGUUGGUUCGGUGGUGGAUGGUCUCGCGGUCUAUCAGCUUGUUGGGGGGAUGAUGGCCUACCAAGGCGGUGACGGGUCGACGGCUUGGGGGGGUGGACGGUCACACAGGGUCAGAGGCACGGCCGAGACUGAUACGCGAGGCAGAAGGGGAGAAUAUGGAACAAUGGGCGCAAGUGUGCUGCGGCGACGCCGCGUGAGCGAUGGCGGCCUGCGGGUUGUGACCCUCUUUCGCCAGUGAAGCGGGCCUGCCUCGUUUGUGGGUGGGUUGACGGUAGCUGGAUAAGAAGCGCCGGCUAACUACGUG